GCGCCCUCGCCCAGGCCGAUCUCGACGCCAUCGACGCCGAGGUGAAGGCCCUCAUCGACGGCUCGGUGGUCAAGGCCAAGUCCGACCCCAAGCCCGGCGAAG
rnacentral:miRNA from 1 species